rnacentral:lncRNA from 1 species
UUUUUUUGUUUUUUUCUUUUCUAGGAAAGACCAAGCUAGAGAUUUUAGAAUAAUCCAAUUGAUCAUGAGAUUGGCAAAAGGAGACAGAAGGACUCAAAUGGGAAUGAGACAGAGCAGCGGCCUGGCCCUGAAAGGGAUUAAACUGAACUAAUUGGAUUAGAAGCUAAGGCAAGGGGUCUGGGAUGCUGGGAGGGGUGGGGAAGGCUUGCAGUGUCCUGCCAGUACUAAUGUAUCAGUGUAGCUACUUUGGUGCCAGCCACCCGAAAAUAAGGCAAAUUCCAAACCCACUUGGGUGAACCUUUGCCAAAUGAAUCAUUAACCCUCCACCACAUUGUAAAAAGGAAGAAAGAUCUCCUUAAGUGAGACACUCAGAGCCAGCUGGGGGCAUUUAGUUCUGAGAGCACUGUGAAAGAAGUCAUCAAUACCUGAUUUCAAAAUGGAAACUUAGUCUAGUCUGGAACUGGGCCAAAUGCUGUGAAAAUGAACUAGGUCAUAGGUGAGAGGGCUUCAGAAACUGUGAAAGGCAAAACAGAAACAAACCCCCACAAAACCCCAGACCUGUUACGUUUGUUAUCUAGCCACUAUCAUCCAGAUUCAUUGUGUUAAAAAGCUCAGGUGAGUCCCUGUGUCACCAGUGGUGCAGUGCCCAUCUCCAGUGAGUCAUUAGAACUGCUGUGCCUGGGGAUGGGCCCUCUGCCCAUCUUGUGAGACCCUCAAGAUUCAGGCAUCUAAGAGGAAUCAACUCUCAGAACCUGGAUCAAAACAGAGCUUGUCAAACUGAACUAUGCCUUCAAAUCACUUGGGUAAUCCCGUUAAAAUGCUGAUUCUGAUUUCCCAGGUCUGGGAUGUGGCUUGAGAGUCUGCCUUUCUGACCAGCUCCCAGGUGACGCCAAUGCUUCUGGCCCAUGGACCGCCUUUGAGUAGCAGACCUGUGGGCUAGGCAUUCUGCCACCUCCGUUCUCUUUGCAAGAGAAAUUUCCAAGGAGGUAGACGCAAGUGUAAAUGGAUAGGUCAACCAUCUGGAGCAGUGGUUCUCAAAGUGUGGUCCAGGGAUAGGCACCAUGGGCAUCACUCAGGAGUUUGUUAGAGAUGCUAAUUCUUGGGCCCCAUCCCCAGAGCUUCUAAACCAGAAGCUCUGGGCAUGGGACCCAGUAAUCCAUGUUUUGAUAAGCCCUCCAUGGGAUUCCAAUGCGCACUAACGUUUGAGAAUCACAGCUGAUGGAUAAUCAAAGCACCUGAGAAUUCAAUAAUAAUAAUAAAAAAAAAUCGGUACCCAAGUCCCAUUCCAGAGAAUCUAACCUGGUCAUUCUGGGGUAGGACCAAGGCAUUCACAGAGAUUCUAAGGUUUGGCCAGUAGUAAGAACGGCAGAGCUGGAACAGAAAGCUGAUCCUGCUCGCGUAGGAGGGUUAACUGUAAAGCACCUCAGUAAACCAACCACCAGCUCUCUGCAGGUCUGGACAUCAAUACAAACAGCGUGUACCCUGGUUCUCCAGCGUGACGGGGUCAGCGUGUGGAUGAUGCAGAAUUAAGUUCUCACUCCUCACCCCAACACGCACACUCCUCCUGGGCUGUCAAGUCACACCUUUUACUCACCCUGUACUCUGGCUGGAGCAGCCUCCUGCUAUACCACCACCAGGCAAAAGUUUCACACAGGAGCUCCCGCUAGGGCGCAGUGGGUUAAGAAUCCGACUGCAGUGACGUGGGUCACUGCAAAGAUGCGGGUUCAAUCCCUGGCCUGGCACAGUGGAUUAAAGGAUCUGGCGUUGAGGCAGCUGUGGCUCAGAUUCAAUCCCCGCCCCCAGACAUUUCGAUAUGCUACAGGUGCAACCAUUUAAAAAAAAAAGUUUCACCCAUCCUUGAAGACCUGUAUCAAACCCAGGCCUUCAGAAAUCCCUUCCUAAACACUCUCGCCCAAUUAGAUUGAUUCCUCUGUAGAAUUUCAUGGCAUAUUAAUUGCAAUUGUCACUUUCCUGUAUUACUUUCAUGCCUUUGUCUCUUCCUCACCACGGACUUGUAAACUCUUAGAUACCAAGAAGAGCAGCCUACGAUUCAACUUUGGGUCUCUUCCUCUGGGUAACUGGCGGCCCUGUGAAGCGAGUGGGCAUUCAGUAAGUUUCUUCUUGAACUUGGGGUCAGAAACCCCGGGGUUUGAGGCUCGCCUUUGCAACCAGGGGCUGUGGGAUCUCUCUCAGGUUGUUAGACCUCUCUUAGCUUUGCUUACCUGUAAAAUGAGGAUGUUGAAUGAGAUGAUCUUUAAGGGCCUUUCCAAAUCUCAGAUUCUAUGAUUCUGUUACUAGAAGGGGGACCCUUUCCAGGGCCCGAGAAGAGGCUCUUGUCAAACAUUUGAAAACGAACUGUCCAAGGAGGUACAUGUACUGAUAAAGCAAAAGAAUCUUUGGGAAUAGGCGCCAGGACGGAGAGCAGCAGAGAAAGGGAACCCCAGGGAACUGCUCUGCCAUGUGCUCACCGUCUUGGGUUUUACAGAGGAGGAGUUGGUUCCUAGGUUGUUUCUGCCCAUCAUCCUGCCCAUAUUCGGUCUGACUCGGGGCCCUGCUGGCAGCAUGCGCAUCUCCCAGCCAAGAUGGAUCCCAGCGCGAGGGCUUCUGGGAGGUUGGCAGGACAUAUGACUGGCUGGUGUCUCUUCCCUCCUUUUGGUCCCUCCCGAAUUCUCUGGUUAGUGUGCGGUGACAGCACCAAGCUCCUUAUUGAGAGCUCCUAUUGUGAGACAACCCACGCAAGUGGUCAUCAUUGAGCCUGGCCAAGGCAGGUGGUUUCAGUCAACGUUUCCCUAAGGAUUCUGUGUAGUCUAUUCUUCUCCCUGAAAAAAUAAGUCUAAACUAAAAAUAAGUCUAAAUCAGCUCUACCUAUACGGGGUAUAGUUGGCCCCUGGGUUUGAGGUGGAGACAAAUUCUCUGAUUCUCCAACCAUAGAGAGGUGGGGUCAAUGUCCCCUCCCUGUUAUUCUGGGCUGUUCUGUGACGUUCUUUGACCAAUAAUACAUUGCAGCAGAUGUGACAGUGUCUGCAGGGUCAGGGUGAGGGAGAGAGGGUGAGGACGGAGUUGGGAAGGUUGAGUCUGCAAAGAAAGACCUUUAAUAGGGUCUGGCAGUUUCAGCUUUGUGUGUCCUAGAACACUCGGUGUUCAAGACCUGAACUACUAGGUAAGAUGUCUGGCCACCUUGAUGGAAAUAUUCACUGCACAGGGAGGCCUUGGGCCUACAGGGAGAGAGGGGGGCCCGGGGAGUCAAGCCUUCCAGCCACCGCUGCCAAGGUGCCGGAUGUGUGAGUAAAACAGUUUUGGACCCUCUAGAUCAGCUCUACCACCUGCUGGCCACCACCACGUGAUCCCAGUGGACACCACCUGGAGCAGGGGACUCACGGCUGAGCCCGGCCCUGCUUCCUGAGCUACUAAAGCGCAAUACACAAUAAAACAGUUGCUGUUUAAGUCACCAAGUGUAGGCUUGUUGAUGAUGCAGCCAGAGACACCCAGAACACUGAGGUGACAGCAUUAGGUACAACUCUUUGCAGUUGAACAUGCAAAUAUUUGACACAGGUUGGAGAAAACAUGCAAAUCCACAUUCAUAAGACGGGCUUAUGGAAGUGCAUGGCAUUUUGUGCUCUUCCCACUGCCUUUGAUUUCUGGAGUCAAUGAAAUGGCCUGUGGACACAUUUCUAGGGCAAACUGCGCAGCCACUAAAAACAAGGGCCUCCUUGAGAGAGAUGCUCAAGGCCCAUGAUGGAGCACGGAGCACUGUCGGGACUCGUCCAGAGGAUGUAGGAGGCAGGAAAUUAUAAUAAAGGCUUGAGAAGGUGGAGCCGUCGUUCAAAGAGGGCUUUGUGUGCUCCCCGAACCCAGUGUAGCCAUGUCCUCCGGCGAAAUUGUCAGUUCAGAGAGAUCUGUGAUUUGCAAAGGGGGUUUUUAUUUCCUCCUCGCCAGGCUAAUUUAAACCUCCCCCACCCCAAAGGAGAUUUCUAGUGCAGUAGAAUAAGGACACUUUCAGAAUCACAGCCUCUUUUUCUGAAUGUGUUUCUUAUGUAAAUGCUGCAUCAGAGCCAUUUCCCUCUUCUUUACACUUUAAUUCUGCUUUUAAAACCUGCAAAAUAGAAACACAGAGAAAGACACCUUGAAAAUACUUUGGGUUUCAUCUCUUUUCCAUUUAUACCUCAGGCUCCCCACAUUUCAAAAAAAAAAUCCUUGUUCUUCAGGUUGAGCAUAUUUUAAACUCAUCUGUUGAACUGGGAAAGCAGGGAAAAAAAGGACGAUUUCUGUACAUUUGGGCUGUCCAAAUAUACCAAGAAAUACGCGGCACUUCACAAUGAUCUAAUGAUCCUCAGGAUGCCACAGUAAAGUCAGGUGGCCCAGAGCAGAGGAGUCGGGGGAAUUUAAAGAGGCCCCCUCCCCCCAUCAAUGUUUGUAGAGGCCAUUCGGGGGAGGGGAAGAAAAAGGCCAGGCUGCAUAGGUCCCUUUCGAGAAGGUUUUCUAUUUUUCCUGUCCCCCUCCCACUUCUCCACCCACUGCCCCGAGGUAGAACUGGCCACGAUUUAGUGUUUGUGGUCCACUCACGGUACCCCCAUCCGGGGACUCUCAUAAAAAACCUAGCUGUAGUGAUUCAUUCCUAUCUACUUGCCUGUUUGUGAGCAUAAGCAGGGAGGGGAGAAGGGUUAUAGCCCCACACACAGCAAAAAUACUAAAGAGUAAAAAAAUACUAAAGAGUAAAAAUACAGUGAAUGAAUGGAUGAAUGAAUGAAUGAGUUUCGAUUCCAGCUCAAGCACUUCCUAGCAUCAUUUCCUUGGGCACCUUCUUUCACCUCUGAGACCACUCCGGUUUCCUUCCCUGAGAUGGGGAGAGUGGCAGCCACCUCCUGGGUAGUGGUGAGGCACUAAGGCGUCAUGUUUGUGAAGCAUGUAGCAGAAUGUGCCAGGCCCCAGUAGCUUCUCAGCUAAGGUUCUGCCCCUCCUCCAGACGCACCCCCCAAAGCCUAGCUGAGCC